rnacentral:rRNA from 1 species
UAAGACUGGGAUAACUUCGGGAAACCGGAGCUAAUGCCGGAUAACAUAUAGAACCGCAUGGUUCUAUAGUGAAAGAUGGUUUUGCUAUCACUUAUAGAUGGACCCGCGCCGUAUUAGCUAGUUGGUAAGGUAAUGGCUUACCAAGGCGACGAUACGUAGCCGACCUGAGAGGGUGAUCGGCCACACUGGAACUGAGACACGGUCCAGACUCCUACGGGAGGCAGCAGUAGGGAAUCUUCCGCAAUGGGCGAAAGCCUGACGGAGCAACGCCGCGUGAGUGAUGAAGGUUUUCGGAUCGUAAAACUCUGUUAUUAGGGAAGAACAAAUGCGUAAGUAACUGUGCGCAUCUUGACGGUACCUAAUCAGAAAGCCACGGCUAACUACGUGCCAGCAGCCGCGGUAAUACGUAGGUGGCAAGCGUUAUCCGGAAUUAUUGGGCGUAAAGCGCGCGUAGGCGGUUUCUUAAGUCUGAUGUGAAAGCCCACGGCUCAACCGUGGAGGGUCAUUGGAAACUGGGAAACUUGAGUGCAGAAGAGGGAAGUGGAAUUCCAUGUGUAGCGGUGAAAUGCGCAGAGAUAUGGAGGAACACCAGUGGCGAAGGCGACUUUCUGGUCUGUAACUGACGCUGAUGUGCGAAAGCGUGGGGAUCAAACAGGAUUAGAUACCCUGGUAGUCCACGCCGUAAACGAUGAGUGCUAAGUGUUAGGGGGUUUCCGCCCCUUAGUGCUGCAGCUAACGCAUUAAGCACUCCGCCUGGGGAGUACGACCGCAAGGUUGAAACUCAAAG